AUGCAGCCUGUAACACUGUGGAUUGUUUGUGUUAAGACCAAAACGAUAUUAUUACGAUGUUUGUUAAGACCUGAUGCAAAAAAAUGGCAAGGAAGACGAAGUGAGAGGCUGAGCUAGCGCAUCGCUAUGCGAGAUAGCCUUGCUGGUGCAGUCUUUUUUGCGGGUGAGGUGGGGCGGCGAAACAUGGGCCACCAGUCUGGGGAACGUCAUUGGGGAUGUCAGAAGCCAGUCUCGGCUGCUUGGUCUUGAUAAGGAAGAAGAUAGGGAAUGGGAGAAUAAGCUGGUCGAGGACUGGCCAUUUGGCAGCGUGCGCGAGCCGGCCAAACGGCUCGCCGAGAUUAUUGGAAAAAAUAUCGCGAUUCUGUAAGUUUGAAUUGUGUAGAACUUGUAGCAGCCAACUUUCUCCACCGCGCAUUAGAAGCGCACGCGAAUUGCUUGCGCCUUAACGGAGCAGUAAAGGUCGGGUAGCUGCGAAAAUCGCCUAGUAUUUUGGCAUGUAAAGAGACAAACACCACAGCUGCAAGCCGCUUCAAGGCUGGUGGUCCACCACUUCAAGAGCGAGUACUGUUUUCUCGUCCCCAGAGCUACUUCGUGCCAUCCAGCAAGGACAUACCGACCGACUUCCGUGUCAAGCUCUUGAAAAACAACUACAACCCCGUCGGUGUUUUCAACUCGAAAGCCACCGGCGAGCCUCCGCUGUGUGUGACGUUCAGCUGCCUGAGCGCGCUGAGGCAGGCCGUCGCGGCAGCUCGCAAGGACGCCGGAAAAGUCAACUGGACUCAGCUUGACGCGCCGAGUACAGUGGAGUCCGUCCAGACC